CUACGGGUGGCUGCGGUGAGGAAUAUUGCACAAUGGGGGGAACCCUGAUGCAGCAACGCCGCGUGGAGGAUGACGCAUUUCGGUGUGUAAACUCCUUUUAUAUGUCAAGAAAAUGACGGUAGCAUAUGAAUAAGCACCGGCUAACUCCGUGCCAGCAGCCGCGGUAAUACGGAGGGUGCAAGCGUUACUCGGAAUCACUGGGCGUAAAGGGCGCGUAGGCGGGUUGGAAAGUCAGGUGUGAAAUCCUACAGCUUAACUGUAGAACUGCACUUGAAACUUCUAAUCUAGAGUAUGGGAGGGGGAGAUGGAAUUAGUGGUGUAGGGGUAACAUCCGUAGAUAUCACUAGGAAUACCUAAAGCGAAGGCGAUCUCCUGGAACAUUACUGACGCUAAGGCGUGAAAGCGUGGGGAGCAAACAGGAUUAGAUACCCCCGUAGUC
rnacentral:rRNA from 1 species